rnacentral:rRNA from 1 species
CCUACGGGAGGCAGCAGUGAGGAAUAUUGGUCAAUGGACGAGAGUCUGAACCAGCCAAGUAGCGUGAAGGAUGACUGCCCUAUGGGUUGUAAACUUCUUUUAUAUGGGAAUAAAAUGUUCCAAGUGAGGGAUUUCGUAUGUACCAUAUGAAUAAGGAUCGGCUAACUCCGUGCCAGCAGCCGCGGGAAUACGGUGGAUCCGAGCGUUAUUCGGAUUUAUUGGGUUUAAAGGGAGCGUAGGUGGAUUGUUAAGUCAGUUGUGAAAGUUUGCGGCUCAACCGUAAGAUUGCAGUUGAUACUGGCAGUCUUGAGUACAGUAGAGGUGGGCGGAAUUCGUUGUGUAGCGGUGAAAUGCUUAGAUAUCACGAAGAACUCCGAUUGCGAAGGCAGCUCACUGGACUGCAACUGACACUGAGGCUCGAAAGUGUGGGUAUCAAACAGGAUUAGAUACCCGAGUAGUC